CACAAACCCAACAACAGUGCGGGUUUAUCUCCCACAGUGUGCACUUUGGCUCUGGGAGCGACAAGUCAACACGUUUACUCUCCUAUAUAAAUGGGUCGGGCAAACAGGGCCUCAGCUUCGUCUCUGGAAAGCAAUAGAAUACAAGUGACAUGAUGAAGCUGCUGGUCGUUGCCGUCCUUGUCGCGCUCCUCGCUCUCAGUGCUGAAAGCUUCCGUGUGGUGAGGCAGGCCGAGGAGGAGCAGGGGACUCUGACCAAAAUCACAGACAAAGUCAAGUCCCUCUAUCAAGGCACCGUCGACACGGCCAGCGGAUACUUGGACAGCAUCAGGGGCCUGAAGCUGGAGGAGAAGGCAAAGAAUCUUUACAAGGAUACUUCCCUAGUUUUGACCACCUACAGCGACAUAGCUCGUGACCAGAUUUACCACUUCUUCUACUCCCAUCAGUAAAAAAACAAAUGAUUUCCAGUGACUGAAACUUUAAAAGCUCCACGAGAAAGGCUACAGCGUCAUUUGACAAUCUGACCUCUGGCUUUAUCUGACCUCACCCGAACAUCAAUAACUCAGAUGGCAUCUUCAGAAACAACGCACCCGACUGUGUGAUAAAUAAACAUCUCAAAGCUCGCCCUGAGGAAAAUGGAGAGAACAACUUUGCGAGCAGAAGAAAAGAAGCAGCAUCUUCUCAUGAAUUUUUCAGGGUGUCAGAAUGGGCAAAAUGCAAAUAAUGUAAUGAUCUAUCGCCACCUACUGGUCAAUUUGUCUCCUCACUGUUCCACCUAUUAAAAAUAUUUGUAUCUUAUCUUGAAAUAAAAAUAUUUAUACAAACAAA